GCGCACGGGUGCGUAACGCGUAUGCAAUCUGCCUUUCACAGAGGGAUAGCCCAGAGAAAUUUGGAUUAAUACCUCAUAGUAUUAUNGAGUGGCAUCACUUUAUAAUUAAAGUCACAACGGUGAAAGAUGAGCAUGCGUCCCAUUAGCUAGUUGGUAAGGUAACGGCUUACCAAGGCAACGAUGGGUAGGGGUCCUGAGAGGGAGAUCCCCCACACUGGUACUGAGACACGGACCAGACUCCUACGGGAGGCAGCAGUGAGGAAUAUUGGUCAAUGGGCGCAAGCCUGAACCAGCCAUGCCGCGUGCAGGAUGACGGUCCUAUGGAUUGUAAACUGCUUUUGUACGGGAAGAAACACUCCGACGUGUCGGAGCUUGACGGUACCGUAAGAAUAAGGAUCGGCUAACUCCGUGCCAGCAGCCGCGGUAAUACGGAGGAUCCAAGCGUUAUCCGGAAUCAUUGGGUUUAAAGGGUCCGUAGGCGGUCUGGUAAGUCAGUGGUGAAAGCCCAUCGCUCAACGGUGGAACGGCCAUUGAUACUGCUGGACUUGAAUUACUGGGAAGCAACUAGAAUAUGUAGUGUAGCGGUGAAAUGCUUAGAGAUUACAUGGAAUACCAAUUGCGAAGGCAGGUUGCUACCAGUGGAUUGACGCUGAUGGACGAAAGCGUGGGGUAGCGAACAGGAUUANAUACCCUGGUAGUCCACGCCGUAAACGAUGGNAUACUAGCUUGUUGGGAGCCAAUNUCAGUGGCUAAGCCAAAAGUGAUAAGUAAUCCCACCUGGGGGGAGUACCUUCGCAAGAAUGAAANUCAAAAGGAAAUUGACCGGGGGCCCCCC
rnacentral:rRNA from 1 species